CUUCUCUGAUGUUAGCGGCGGACGGGUGAGUAACACGUGGAUAACCUACCUAUAAGACUGGGAUAACUUCGGGAAACCGGAGCUAAUACCGGAUAAUAUUUUGAACCGCAUGGUUCAAAAGUGAAAGACGGUCUUGCUGUCACUUAUAGAUGGAUCCGCGCUGCAUUAGCUAGUUGGUAAGGUAACGGCUUACCAAGGCAACGAUGCAUAGCCGACCUGAGAGGGUGAUCGGCCACACUGGAACUGAGACACGGUCCAGACUCCUACGGGAGGCAGCAGUAGGGAAUCUUCCGCAAUGGGCGAAAGCCUGACGGAGCAACGCCGCGUGAGUGAUGAAGGUCUUCGGAUCGUAAAACUCUGUUAUUAGGGAAGAACAUAUGUGUAAGUAACUGUGCACAUCUUGACGGUACCUAAUCAGAAAGCCACGGCUAACUACGUGCCAGCAGCCGCGGUAAUACGUAGGUGGCAAGCGUUAUCCGGAAUUAUUGGGCGUAAAGCGCGCGUAGGCGGUUUUUUAAGUCUGAUGUGAAAGCCCACGGCUCAACCGUGGAGGGUCAUUGGAAACUGGAAAACUUGAGUGCAGAAGAGGAAAGUGGAAUUCCAUGUGUAGCGGUGAAAUGCGCAGAGAUAUGGAGGAACACCAGUGGCGAAGGCGACUUUCUGGUCUGUAACUGACGCUGAUGUGCGAAAGCGUGGGGAUCAAACAGGAUUAGAUACCCUGGUAGUCCACGCCGUAAACGAUGAGUGCUAAGUGUUAGGGGGUUUCCGCCCCUUAGUGCUGCAGCUAACGCAUUAAGCACUCCGCCUGGGGAGUACGACCGCAAGGUUGAAACUCAAAGGAAUUGACGGGGACCCGCACAAGCGGUGGAGCAUGUGGUUUAAUUCGAAGCAACGCGAAGAACCUUACCAAAUCUUGACAUCCUUUGACAACUCUAGAGAUAGAGCCUUCCCCUUCGGGGGACAAAGUGACAGGUGGUGCAUGGUUGUCGUCAGCUCGUGUCGUGAGAUGUUGGGUUAAGUCCCGCAACGAGCGCAACCCUUAAGCUUAGUUGCCAUCAUUAAGUUGGGCACUCUAAGUUGACUGCCGGUGACAAACCGGAGGAAGGUGGGGAUGACGUCAAAUCAUCAUGCCCCUUAUGAUUUGGGCUACACACGUGCUACAAUGGACAAUACAAAGGGCAGCGAAACCGCGAGGUCAAGCAAAUCCCAUAAAGUUGUUCUCAGUUCGGAUUGUAGUCUGCAACUCGACUACAUGAAGCUGGAAUCGCUAGUAAUCGUAGAUCAGCAUGCUACGGUGAAUACGUUCCCGGGUCUUGUACACACCGCCCGUCACACCACGAGAGUGUG
rnacentral:rRNA from 1 species